CCCUUAGAUGUUCUGGGCCGCACGCGCGCUACACUGACGAAUGCAACGAGCUUAUAACCUUGGCCGAAAGGUCUGGGUAAUCUCCAAAUUUCGUCGUGAUGGGGAUAGAUUAUUGCAAUUAUUAAUCUUCAACGAGGAAUGCCUAGUAAGCGCAAGUCAUCAGCUUGCGUUGAUUACGUCCCUGCCCUUUGUACACACCGCCCGUCGCACCUACCGAUUGAAUGGUCCGGUGAAAUCUUCGGAUCUGAGAGAUGUCUGAUUAAUUUCGGACGCCUUUUGGAAAAGUUGUUUAAACCUUACCAUUUAGAGGAAGGUGAAGUCGUAACA
rnacentral:rRNA from 1 species